rnacentral:sRNA from 1 species
CGAACGAAGGCGCCGCCCAACUUGCGGCUCGCCCGCCUUGCGCGCGCGCAUCUCAAAUGGGAACAGUCACGCUGAACGGCAAGAGGGUGGACCAACCCUUAAUAAUUGCGGUAUAUGAAAAGGUUAUAGUGCAGUGUUAAGUGAUAAAAGUGCAAUAAAAUGCCUCGAAAACGCAUGAACAGAUCGCCGCCGGUUGAGAAAAGGUCCGAUGAUGCCGACGAUGACGAUUUUUUCUUCGAUGACACGCAAUCUAGUUCAGGGCGGAGUUCUCACGAACCGCAGCACAGAAAUGCUGCUAACGCAAGAGAGCGGGCGAGGAUGCGCGUUCUCUCCAAAGCAUUUUGCAGGUUAAAGACAACAUUGCCGUGGGUGCCGGCGGACACGAAGCUGUCGAAGUUAGACACGCUGCGACUAGCGGCUUCGUACAUAGCGCACCUGCGGGCUUUGCUGCACGAGCCACGCUCUGCGCACACGCCGCCGCAUCCACUAAGCUUGGCCUGGCCAUUCGCCUUCCAACAUGGCGGCACAUUGAGCUGUACUAUUUCACAGAGAUGGAACGUAAGCCCUCCUAGCAAUGACGGCCAGAAUUGUCGCUUACCGCCCAGAGAAAACACGCAAAACUGCCAUGAAGGAUAUGGCCACGAAUACGAAAAUGACUAUGACGAGAGAUGUUAUGAUGAGAUGACGAACGAACCCUGCCAGCCGAUGCAAUAUUGUAAUUAUGGUUACAGAGAAAUUAUUAUGAAUCGAGAAAUUCUUACCAAUCGGAAAAUUUGAUUAAUAACGCUUAAUAUAUACCAAAGAUAUAUAAAAUAAAAAUAAAUCUACUUUUA